AAUGUAAACGGGUGGAACGAUGUCAAGGUUAUUGGAGUGUAUUUUGGGAAUAGCAAAUCAGCAAGCGCAAACGAAUUUCUUACAAAAUUUGUAGAUGAACUACUUAUUUUAAUGGAAAAUGGAAUAUUUUUUAACGAAAAACAUUACUCUGUAAAUUGUCGAGCUUUUAUAUGUGUCACACCUGCGCGUGCGUUUAUCCUUGGUAUCAAAGGGCAUUGUGGAUAUUCGUGUUGUCCUAAAUGCAUACAGAAAGGCCAGUCUAAAAAUCACAAAAUAAUUUUUGUUAAAGAAAAUAGUCUUCCUCGAACUGUUGAUGAUUAAUUCGAACAUAUAAACGUACAUAAAUUAUUCGGACAGAAAAUGGAUUUUAACCACAUCAUAGAAAAAGCAUCAGAAAAUACUCCUGUAACUAAAAAAGGAUAUUGGACCGUAUAAAACAGUCGGAAAAUAAAAUACUGAAAGAAAUAGACCACACUCAAAAAUUCUUAAAGAGGGCCCUGACACGAAUUUUGCAAGAAACAAAGCAGACUACAAAGACAAGCCACAAAUCACGAAGUUAGCUGCUCCUGAAAGUUCCAUUUGAUAACUUGGAACAAUUUCAAAAUUUCGAAAAGGAUAUACAGGAGCAUUCCAGCAAAUUUAAUGAAUUGAAGGAGGAAUUUUUCACAGUAUCUGGCCACACAGCUGAAAAGUUCGUAAAAAAUUCUUGGCGCCAAAUUUUUACCGAUGGUGUUGCGCAGAAUUUGUGUUGGAAGGGUACGAAGGAUAAAAUGGCUGUGAGACCCUUAAGUGUAACAGCUGCCUUAAAAAGUAUAGUUCUUCACAUUUUCGAAAUUUUACAAAACUAAUUAUUUUGUUUCAAGUACAUUUUCGUCUAAAUUCCCUCAUGCGACAGAUAUAGAUUUUGAGCGCACGUCUAUAGUCUUCUUCCAGCAUGCUAAAGAAGAAAAAGGCAUACGACUCCAAAAA